GGGCGCUUAGCUCAGUUGGUCAGAGCGCUUCGUUUACACCGAAGAAGUCGGGGGUUCGAGUCCCUCAGCGCCCA
rnacentral:tRNA from 2 species